AUGCGCGGUCCUAGUUUGAGUUCAGGGGCGGGAGAAUUUGUGAACAGAGCAGGUUUCAUGGCCCCCGAGCUCCUGCAGGGCGAGGAGUACGACUUCUCCGUGGACUACUUUGCCCUGGGGGUCACCCUGUAUGAGAUGAUUGCGGCCAGAGGACCCUUCCGAGCCCGUGGAGAGAAGGUGGAGAACAAGGAGCUGAAGCACCGGAUCAUCUCAGAGCCCGUGAAGUACCCUGAUAAGUUCAGCCAGGCCAGCAAGGACUUCUGCGAGGCGCUGCUGGAGAAGGACCCGGAGAAGCGCCUGGGGUUCAGAGAUGAGACCUGCGACAAGCUCCGUGCCCACCCCCUCUUCAAGGACCUUAACUGGAGGCAGCUGGAGGCUGGGAUGCUGAUGCCCCCUUUCAUCCCAGACUCCAAAACUGUCUACGCAAAGGAUAUUCAGGACGUGGGUGCCUUUUCCACCGUCAAAGGUGUGGCCUUUGACAAAACAGACACAGAAUUCUUUCAGGAAUUUGCCACUGGCAACUGCCCCAUCCCCUGGCAGGAGGAGAU
rnacentral:misc_RNA from 1 species